rnacentral:rRNA from 1 species
GCAAGACCAAAGAGGGGGACCUUCGGGCCUCUUGCCAUCAGAUGUGCCCAGAUGGGAUUAGCUUGUUGGUGAGGUAACGGCUCACCAAGGCGACGAUCCCUAGCUGGUCUGAGAGGAUGACCAGCCACACUGGAACUGAGACACGGUCCAGACUCCUACGGGAGGCAGCAGUGGGGAAUAUUGCACAAUGGGCGCAAGCCUGAUGCAGCCAUGCCGCGUGUAUGAAGAAGGCCUUCGGGUUGUAAAGUACUUUCAGCGGGGAGGAAGGUGUUGUGGUUAAUAACCGCAGCAAUUGACGUUACCCGCAGAAGAAGCACCGGCUAACUCCGUGCCAGCAGCCGCGGUAAUACGGAGGGUGCAAGCGUUAAUCGGAAUUACUGGGCGUAAAGCGCACGCAGGCGGUCUGUCAAGUCGGAUGUGAAAUCCCCGGGCUCAACCUGGGAACUGCAUUCGAAACUGGCAGGCUUGAGUCUUGUAGAGGGGGGUAGAAUUCC